UACGUAGGGGGCAAGCGUUGUCCGGAAUCACUGGGCUUAAAGCGUGUGUAGGCGGGUCGUUAAGUACCUUGUGAAAUCCCAUGGCUCAACCAUGGAACUGCUGGGUAUACUGGCGAUCUUGUGCAACCUAGGGGCGAGCGGAACAGAUGGUGGAGCGGUGAAAUGCGUAGAUAUCAUCUGGAACGCCAAUGGUGAAAACAGCUCGCUGGGGGUUUGCAGACGCUGAGACACGAAAGCCAGGGGAGCGAACGGG
rnacentral:rRNA from 1 species